GGACGAGUAAGUUAUAUUUAAACUAUGGGGUUCAUGUCCCCACAAUACAUUUUAUGUCGCGUCUA
rnacentral:tRNA from 1 species